UACGUAGGGCGCAAGCGUUGUCCGGAAUUAUUGGGCGUAAAGAGCUCGUAGGCGGCUUGUCACGUCGGUUGUGAAAGCCCGGGGCUUAACCCCGGGUCUGCAGUCGAUACGGGCAGGCUAGAGUGUGGUAGGGGAGAUCGGAAUUCCUGGUGUAGCGGUGAAAUGCGCAGAUAUCAGGAGGAACACCGGUGGCGAAGGCGGGUCUCUGGGCCGUAACUGACGCUAAGGAGCGAAAGCGUGGGGAGCGAACAGG
rnacentral:rRNA from 1 species